UACGUAGGGUGCGAGCGUUGUCCGGAAUUAUUGGGCGUAAAGAGCUUGUAGGCGGUCUGUCGCGUCUGCUGUGAAAAUCCAGGGCUCAACCCUGGACCUGCGUUCGAUACGGGCAGACUAGAGUUCGGUAGGGGAGACUGGAAUUCCUGGUGUAGCGGUGAAAUGCGCAGAUAUCAGGAGGAACACCGGUGGCGAAAGCAGCUCUCUGGGACGGUACUGACGCUGAGACGCGAAAGCGUGGGGAGCGAACAGG
rnacentral:rRNA from 1 species